rnacentral:rRNA from 1 species
UACGUAGGGCGCGAGCGUUGUCCGGAUUUAUUGGGCGUAAAGAGCUCGUAGGCGGCUUGUCGCGUCGACUGUGAAAACCCGCGGCUCAACUGCGGGCUUGCAGUCGAUACGGGCAGGCUAGAGUUCGGUAGGGGAGACUGGAAUUCCUGGUGUAGCGGUGAAAUGCGCAGAUAUCAGGAGGAACACCGGUGGCGAAGGCGGGUCUCUGGGCCGAUAUUGACGCUCAUACGCGAGAGCGUGGGUAGCAAACAGG